rnacentral:rRNA from 1 species
UGUGUAGGAUAGGUGGGAGACUGUGAUCCAGCUUCGCUAGGAGUUGGUUAGUCAACGUUGAAAUACCACCCUUUCUGUAUUUGGUGUCUAACUCUACAAUGUGGAGAACAUUGUUUGGCGGGUAGUUUGACUGGGGUGGUCGCCUCCAAAAAGGUAACGGAGGCUUUCAAAGGUAAGCUCAGUACGCUUGGUAACCGUACGCGGAGUGCAAUAGCAUAAGCUUGCUUGACAGUGAGACAGACAAGUCGAGCUGGGUCGAAAGACGGAUAUAGUGAUCCGGUGGUUCUGCAUGGAAGGGCCAUCGCUCAAAGGAUAAAAGGUACGCUGGGGAUAACAGGCUGAUCUCCCCCAAGAGCUCAUAUCGACGGGGAGGUUUGGCACCUCGAUGUCGGCUCGUCACAUCCUGGGGCUGGAGAAGGUCCCAAGGGUUGAGCUGUUCGCUCAUUAAAGUGGCACGCGAGCUGGGUUCAGAACGUCGCGAGACAGUUCGGUCCCUAUCUGUUGUGGGCGCAGGAAGUUUGAGUGGGGCUGACCUUAGUACGAGAGGACCGGGUUGGACUAACCUCUGGUGAAUCUGUUAUGCCGCCAGGUGUACUGCAGAGUAGCUACGUUGGGAAUAGAUAAGCGCUGAAAGCAUCUAAGUGCGAAACUAGCCACAAGAUGAGACUUCCAUUGAGGGUCGUAGGAGACUACUACGUUGAUAGGUUACAGGUAUAAAGGUGGUGACAUCAUAGCCGAGUAAUACUAAUUGCCCGAAGCUUUCUUCAA